CAGGUCUUGACAUCCUCUGACAACCCUAGAGAUAGGGCGUUCCCCUUCGGGGGACAGAGUGACAGGUGGUGCAUGGUUGUCGUCAGCUCGUGUCGUGAGAUGUUGGGUUAAGUCCCGCAACGAGCGCAACCCUUGAUCUUAGUUGCCAGCAUUCAGUUGGGCACUCUAAGGUGACUGCCGGUGACAAACCGGAGGAAGGUGGGGAUGACGUCAAAUCAUCAUGCCCCUUAUGACCUGGGCUACACACGUGCUACAAUGGAUGGAACAAAGGGUCGCGAAGCCGCGAGGUCGAGCCAAUCCCAUAAAUCCAUUCUCAGUUCGGAUUGCAGGCUGCAACUCGCCUGCAUGAAGCCGGAAUCGCUAGUAAUCGCGGAUCAGCAUGCCGCGGUGAAUACGUUCCC
rnacentral:rRNA from 1 species